rnacentral:ncRNA from 1 species
UCUGAAAUUAGUUUAAGAUAUAUUUCUUAAACCCUAUGUGUAUCAGCCGGUUACGCUUUAUCCUGGGAUAAGUUUAAUUCUUGUUUAUGUUUUCUACUGUUUGCAAGCAUUCUAUGAGAGUUGUUGCGCGAAUUGUUUGUAAGUUAAUCUUUGUCAUUUAGUUCUCAGUGUAGAAAAUUGGGUUAUUAAUUCAUGUUUAAAUUAGCUAUGUAGGAAGUACAGGUUAAAUUUGUGCCAGCAGCCGCGGUUAGACUGGAAGUAUAAGUAGAAAAAUUUGAGUAAACAGUUAAAGUACCAUUCAUAUUGAAUUUAUAUUCGUAAGUUUAGGGUGAAAUUUUUCUUUUAAUAUUAAAGUUCAAAUGAAUCUUUUUUAAGACUGUGAAGACUUAGGUACAAAAUAGGAUUAGAUACCCUAGUAUGCUUAGUUAGAAAUUAUAAUGCUUGAUUAGUAAACAGUUAUGUUCUCGAAAUUUAAAGAAUUUGGCGGCUCCCCAGUCCAGUUAGAGGAACCUGUCCUGUAAACGAUGAACCACGAAUUAUCUUACUUUUUCUUGCCUAUUGCAAUUAGUAUACCGUCAUUAUUAGAUAAUCUUUAAAUAGACUUGUCUAAAUAAACUUUACUUUUAGAAUAUUAGAUCAGGGUGCUGUCGAUGAAAAAGAAGAGAUGGGUUACAAUAAUACUUAGUUAUAUGGACGGUAAAGUGAAAUCUUUACCUGAAGGUGGAUUUAAUAGUAGGGGUAGGUGUAGUGAGAUACCCCGAUAGUGGUUCUGAGGAGUGUACAAAUCGCCCGUCGCUCUCACUAUCAAGGUGAGAUAAGUCGUAACAAGGUAGGUGUGCCGGAAGGUGUACCUAGGAGUAAUA